ensembl:lncRNA
GGAUGAAGGCGAUUUCGGCCGUGGGGUCUGAACUUCUCGUUGGGAACAGAGGCGGCGGGGGGUCAGAGAGCAGCUGUCUCUCCGGUCCUCUGGAGUCAACAGGAAUGAAAUCAAAAGGGAAAAGGAAGCGGGACGUAGUGGAGCGCGAGUCUUGAGUUCGUCCAGCGAGAUUAAGACUGAAACUUGGGAAUUGGAGGGAAAGAAAAGAAACCAAACAACGUUGUGUUGUCUCGAUCUGUCACUAACGGGAAGUCAGGCGAAAGAGAUCGAUCCUUUGGCGCAAUCUCUUCUUAUGAACUUGAGGUCCAUGAAUAAAUGUCACUGUCCUCGGCCAAUGGGAGCGCUCGGUGUUCUUUGGUACGUCCUCUUUUUAUGGCCAAGGGGGUCUGGAGAGCUGCAGGGGUCCUGUUAUCAGCCCCUGGCAUCAGGCCACGGGGGACCCCUAUAUGUUUGUGUCCUUCCUUUGUCCUCAGUGAAGAAACACGUGGUGAGGUUCAUUAGCAGGGUGGAGGCCCAACAUCCCCUUUGCAUUAAAAGGUCUCCUGCUACCACCAUUCCACCUCUGCAGCUCAUCCACAAUGCAGCAGCUCC